rnacentral:rRNA from 1 species
GUGGAUUAGAUACCCGGGUAGUCCACGCCGUAAACGAUGGAUGCUAGCCGUUGGUAAGCAUGCUUAUCAGUGGCGCAGCUAACGCAUUAAGCAUCCCGCCUGGGGAGUACGGCCGCAAGGUUGAAACUCAAAGGAAUUGACGGGGGCCCGCACAAGCGGUGGAGCAUGUGGUUUAAUUCGACGCAACGCGCAGAACCUUACCAGGGUUUGACAUCCCGUGCUAAGCCCAGAGAUGGGUGGUCCCCGCAAGGGGCGCGGAGACAGGUGCUGCACGGCCGUCGCCAACU